rnacentral:rRNA from 1 species
UGAGGAAUAUUGGUCAAUGGUCGCAAGACUGAACCAGCCAUGCCGCGUGCAGGAAGACGGUCCUAUGGAUUGUAAACUGCUUUUAUACAGGAAGAAGCCCUCCCACGUGUGGGAGCUUGACGGUACUGUAGGAAUAAGGAUCGGCUAACUCCGUGCCAGCAGCCGCGGUAAUACGGAGGAUCCAAGCGUUAUCCGGAAUCAUUGGGUUUAAAGGGUCCGUAGGCGGUCUUAUAAGUCAGUGGUGAAAGCCCAUCGCUCAACGAUGGAACUGCCAUUGAUACUGUAAGACUUGAAUGCUUAGGAAGUAACUAGAAUAUGUAGUGUAGCGGUGAAAUGCUUAGAUAUUACAUGGAAUACCAAUUGCGAAGGCAGGUUACUACUAAGUGAUUGACGCUGAUGGACGAAAGCGUGGGGAGCGAACAGGAUUAGAUACCCUGGUAGUCCACGCCGUAAACGAUGGAUACUAGCUGUUCGGCGCAAGUUGAGUGGCUAAGCGAAAGUGAUAAGUAUCCCACCUGGGGAGUACGCACGCAAGUGUGAAACUCAAAGGAAUUGACGGGGUCAUAGCUGUUUCCUG